AAUUAUUAGAAAAAUAAUGCACAUCCGAGGUGUAACGCAUCACAACCUCGGGUGUGCAUUAUUUUUCUAAUAAUUCAACUGCCUGUCGUCAAUUAUUCCUUAAUGCACAGGUAGUUCCAAGUCAGUUUAUAUCACCUUUCUGUAUUAAUGUGCUGAUUUCAUUGACUUUCAGGAGCAUAGAAACUUGUUUUUAAUGCUGUCCUGUGAUUUUUAUUAAUAAAAUAGCUUAGAUACUGGAUUAGGGUAAGGGAUAAGCUAGCUGUGCAUUAAACGAUUCUAAUGCACAACGUGGAGGCAAAAAAACACUCGAUGUUAAGUGCAUUAAAAUCGUUUAAUGCACAGCUAGCCGUGCAUUAUCCCUUACUUAAAUUUUAAAGAUAGAUGACAUAUGAAGGCAAAUGAUGCUAUUUUCAUUCGACAAACCAUUUCUUUUGUCUUUUUGUGAGGACUUACUUGGGAAUCCGUUUUCCUGCAAUUUCAGGUUCUGAGUUUAUGUCAGAAGUGUAGCUGGCCUUCUUCCAGUUGUUGGCUACAUUCUGAAAAGAUGCUGGAAAAAGAAAUGCAGGAUUCUUGCUCUAUGUCGGGUCCACCCUUUCUCUGGCUGUGGUGCCUCCAUUGUCCUAACACUCUUCAGCAACCUGUCAAGGUCUUUAUAUGGUGGCCACCAGGAGUAGCCAUCUGCAUACCAGGACUUGGCGGCUGGUCCAGUCGUCCCUUCUCCCUCAAACUCCACGAUUAGAAAUCAACUGUUGUUGAGAGGUCAUCCACUAAAUGAAUGCCAAGUGUAGAGGAUGGCAGUGGAUAGUCAAAAAAGGAUUCCUGGUGUUUGAAGGUACUGUAAGCUACAUAAAUUUCAUCCCUGAAUGAAAUUAUGUUUUGCAGCUUAGCAACUUUGCCGCCAAUGCAAACCUGACUGUUUGCCUGAUCCAGUUUCAGAGUGUGAAGGCUUGUUCUUAACUCUUUAUAUUGUGUCGCCUCAUGAAAGGAUGCUGGUAGAGGACCAGUCGCAUGUGGUUUUUUGAGCAGAUGUGGCCUGGUUUUGUGAGUUUUUUUGCAGCAUCUUUGCAUUUCUGAGAAUCCUUUUAUUAUUUGACUCAGAGGGCAUGUUGGUUUCCUCAGAAGUCUUUUGAGUUUGUUUAAGUGAUUCUCGUACUUGAAAGCACUGAAGUUGUCAAGGACACCAUGCUUUUUCGCAUCUUCUGCAAGAUGUACAAGGCAGUGUGCAUUGUAGGACAAGAAUUGUGGACCAUACAGUUGACCAAAGUGAGUGACAAAGAGCACCAGUAUGUCAUUGGCAUAAUCACAGUAUUCUUCAAUCAAACUGUUGUUGCACAGGAUGAAGAUUCCCACAAAAAGUAGCAAGAAAUUUUUGUACACCUCUGUGUUAAGAAGAUCUUUCAUCAUGACAGGUCCGGUAUACAGUAAAAACUGCCUGAACUCUGUUGCCUUCCACCUAUCAAUUUCUCUCAGUGCCCUUGGUUUCCGUGCAAACUCCAUGGGCACAUUUCUCCGAGCAUUUAACAGUCUUUCUGACAAUGUGUUUAUUUGAAAUCCUGACAGCCUACAAGUCAGAGGACCCAUCUUCAGCCACAGGAGAAGAAGCCGUCUCAUGAUUCCGAGGCACACAAGGUGCAUGUAGUCGAGGGGGAAACCAGAGACCAUGUUUAGGGAUGUUUCUUCAAGAGGUACAAACCAUCCUGUGUGCAUUUUUCACAUCCGUGAUAGCCUGUGUGACCUUUAACAUUUUUCAGGAAUGCACGGGCAGGUGCAUCGCAGACCAUCGAAGAGAUGUCCCUAGGAUGGGCCAGAACUGUGUUGCGGAGCUCUUAUAGAGGGCCAACCAUCAAUGCUGACCUGAAGCUCCAACGUGUGAAUGUUGCGCAGAAUGUCAACAUUCUGAUGUAGCACCUCUGCAAUUGAAUUCAGCACUCCAAAAUGUUUCCUUAAUUCUGCUGCACCAGCUGUGGAAACCUGACCUGGUGAGGACCCUCUCCUCCAUCCUCAACCAUUGAACCUCUUAUCACACUCGGACGAGGACAAACCAGCCUGUGAUCUAGACUCCUAGAUCCAACCCUGGUCCACGAUCAUUCCCACACCUGUGUCUCAUCACAGUCCAUCACCUGUGUCUGCACCCUGCCUACUGCUAAUAUUAUGGAUUUCUGUUCUGGAGAGAUAUGCCAUUCACAACAAUCUCUACACAAUAUCAAACUCAAAUAAUUUAGUCCUGCCUAACAGUUUUCCUGAUUUGUUACUGUUCACAAUGUAGCACAGUCUCGUCUUUGUGCAUUCAGUUGUUAAAAUAUGUCCUUAUUAUUUGAUUGUAUCUCAAGUUUAUUAUUUAAAAGCAAAUUCACAAUCUUUCACGAGAAGAGAUAAUAGGUGUGUCUGACUUGAAGCAGUGCUGUGCAGACCGAUCGAAGUAUGACAUCACAGUACCACGAGAGCAAUAAGACUGUAAGACAGCUUCUUAUGCUUUUGAAUCACUCUCAUGAUACUUUGUCAUACUUUAAGCAGUGCUGCGCAGACCAAUUGAAGUUGAACACGUCUAAAGUGUAAACUCUCACUGUCAGCUAUGGGACUUCUGCAGUAAUAUGACGAGCAGGUGUUCAGUGUCAUCAUCUUACUUUAUUGAAAUGCUAUAUUGACCUGGAUUCAGGUUUAAAACUGUUUAACUGGGAAAGAACAAAUUAAGUGUCAUUAAUGUUGUGAGGCUGCAUAACAUCUGGUCAGAAGAAUGUUUGUGUAGUCUGUUUCCUCCUGAGGUUUCUAUCUUGUAUAGAUAAAUAUCUAAAAAUGAGUGUCUUUGUAACCAUUCUCAAUAGAUACUGAAAGCUUU
ensembl:lncRNA